rnacentral:rRNA from 1 species
AGCAGCCGCGGUAAUUCCAGCUCCAAUAGCGUAUAUUAAAGUUGUUGCAGUUAAAAAGCUCGUAGUUGAAUUUCGGGAUCAAUUAAUCGGUCGUGCCUCUGGUACGUACUGGUUUUAUUGGUUCCUCCCUUCUGACGAAACAUGAUGUCAUUAAUUUGGUGUCGUGGAGAAUCAGGACUGUUACCUUGAAAAAUUAGAGUGUUUAUAGCAGGCUAACGCUUGAAUACAUUAGCGUGGAAUAAUGAAAUAGGACGUUCGACCCUAUUUUGUUGGUUUCUAGGAUCGACGUAAUGAUUAAUAGGGAUAGUUGGGGGCAUUAGUAUUCAAUUGUCAGAGGUGAAAUUCUUGGAUUUAUUGAAGACUAACUACUGCGAAAGCAUUUGCCAAGGAUGUUUUCAUUAAUCAAGAACGAAAGUUAGGGGAUCGAAGACGAUCAGAUACCGUCGUAGUCUUAACCAUAAACUAUGCCGACUAGGGAUCGGAUGAUGUUAAUUUUUAAUGACUCAUUCGGCGCCUUACG